rnacentral:lncRNA from 1 species
GUUGUAAUUAAGUUUCAUGCUAAACUAGACUUUUUGGUAUUUCCAGGUCGAUCACAGAGAGGAGUCAAGAUGGUGGGGCCCGCCGGUGGAUCCCACAGCCUUUCUUUUCCUCUCUUUCUUUUAUUUUCUCUCUCUCUUAUCCUUCCCUUCUCUCGGUUCCUUUUCCUGCUCUCUCAAUUUCUUCUCUGUUUUCUCUCUUGUUCUCUUCUCUGCCUUUGGCUCCUUCACGCGCGCCCGAGAGGAGAGAGGCGCCGGAGAUGGCGGCCUGGCGCAGGGCGGCGGUGGGGGAAGGAGAGAGGAGAAAGGGGUGGCAUCGGUGGGGAGGAGGAGGCUGGGGCGGUGCGGCGGCGCUCGGCGCUUGGCUCGGUGGCACGGAAGCCGGCGGUGGAGCAUGGGGGAGGGAAAGGUGGCCGGCUGCGACGGAGGCCGUCGGGGCGAAGGAGGUUGCGGCCGGCGUCGGCGACCUGGUGGCGGCGCCCAACACGGCGCGGCGGUGCCCCAGCGCCGAUGAAGACGACGAUGCGGUCAGGCCUAGUUGGCUUCUUUAUUCGGAAUGGGCUGCUCCUUAAUG